rnacentral:lncRNA from 1 species
AUGCCACAUUGGUGUCAGAAGUGGGAUUCCAAGAGCAUGGCCACUAUUCUGAAAGAGGAAGAGGAGCUGAGGAAGAUUGAGGAGCUUAUCACUCGCCUGGAAGCAGUGAAUGGAGCCAGACCGAAGAAGCAGGGAGAGCCCCGGGCAGCAGCAAGCCAGGCAGUGGAAGAUCUGUGGGGCUUACCAGAUGGAACCUCACAGCCCUGCCCACUGGGAAGCUGUCGGGGCUGCCAAGACAUGCUGCAGGCCCCAAGACCACGAGCAGCCAGCCAGCCUCCACUCACGGUGAUGCCUGGGAGCAGCACACCCUCACUGCUGGCAGCCGAGGGGGACAACGCCAACUGUCUCCAGGAUCCAGUGCAGCCGCCGCUGCCAUCAGGGGCUCCUGUCCGGGGGAGCAUGAAGCUGCCACGCUAUAAUGGGGAAGCACCUCCAGAGACCUACCUUAUCCAGGUACAGCUGGCUGCUCAGCUAAAUGGAUGGUCAACAGAGGAGACAGCUGUCCAAGUCGCCCUCGCCCUGGAAGGCAGGGCACUGCAGAUCCUCACAGACCUUCAGCCAGAAGAGCGUUUAAGUUGGCCUGCUGUUGCCAGAGCAAUGCAGAGCAGGUUUGGCCUCCGUACACAUGCAGAUGAUGCCCGAGAUAAACUUGCUAGCCGCCCACGGAGACAAGAGGAGAGUCUGGGUGCCUAUGCUGCCGACCUACGUCUUUAUGCACGUAGAGGGUACCCUGCUUUUGAUGCUGCAGCACAAGAAGAGCUUGCUCUCCAGGCUUUUGUCGGGGGUCUCCAGCCAAAACGACUACAAGAGCACAUCCGUCUGCAUGCACCAGAAACCCUGGUGGCAGCUCUAACUGAGGCCGAAAGAGUGGAGCAUGUGCUCAGCCCAGGUGCACGCAGCCCUGGCAUAAGUCACCAAGUGCGCCAAACAGACUACGAAAGGAGCGACCAGGAGGAAGAGGCCCGCCAAACCACCAACACACCACCCUGGCGAUCUCGGCGAGGGAAUGGACGAGCAGGAGGCCAGUCCAGAGGUAACUGCCAUCGGUGCGGAGAACCAGGCCACAUCGCACGCUACUGUCCAGCACCAAGCCCACAAAGCCUGGCACCCCAGCUGCCGUUAAACUAA